UUGUGCCUGAAUGCAGAUUAUGUUAUCUUUAUGAGAACAAUUUUCAAAAUGCCUGUUAAAUUAAUUAUAUAGAAAUGUCAGAGUGCGUGUGGUAGCCCCGGCUUGUAUCCAACACUCCGGAGGCUGAAGCAGUAGAAUCUUCAGUUUGAAGCCAGUCUGUGCCACAUAGCUAGCUCUAGGCCAGCCUGGUCUACAGAACGAUUUCUAUCUCAAAAAAAAAAAAAGAAAGAAAGAAAAAGAAAGAAAGAAAAGGAAAAGAAAGAAAGGAAAAGAAAGAAAGGAAAAGAAAAGAAAAAGAAAAAAGGAAGAAAAGAAAGAAAGAGAAAAAAGAAAAGAAAGGGGAAAAAGAAAACGGGGGAGAGGAGACUGAAGACAGAGGGAGGAAGAAACAAUGGAAGGAGGAAGUAAGGAAGUCGUUUGGAGUCCAAUUUUUCAGGUUGUCUGAAGUCUACCUAAGUCACACAAUGGUUCAAAUUGAAGGCACUCACUUCCCAAGACAAUAACUUUGAAAUAAGUGGAUUUUUUUUUACAUAUAACAUUUCAGUUUGUACAUGAGAGCCUAUUUUUUCACAAUUCAUUGUUAUCAUGUGUACUGUAUUUAAGAUUACCAUGAGUUUGUCACAUGGAUGGAAAUCUAAGUUUGGCCCACACACAUCUGUUUUGACAUCAUUUUCCUUGAAUAUAUGGACCAAGUUUUCUGAGAGUUGCCCUUAACCUUGACCUCUGACUUCUCUCUGGGCUUUUCACUCUGGUUGCCUGCCCCCUCUAAUAGAAUGGUCUGUAAUCCCCUAGUCAACACAAGCAACACAGUGUUUCAAGUUCUGCAUGUUUUCAGAAGACUUUUCUAUUUAACAGCUCACGCUGAGGUUUAUUAGAACCAAGAUUUGCUGUGUACACCAUUUUUGGCUUCUCUCUCUGUGUGUGUGUGUGUGUGUGUGUGUGUGUGUGUGUGUGUGUGUGUGUGUGUGUGUGUGUGUCUGUGUGUCUGUGUGGUGUGUGUCUCUGUGUGUGGUGUGUCUCUGUAUGUGUGUAUGUGUGUCUGUGUGUGGUGUGUCUCUGUAUGUGUGUCUGUGUGUAUGUGUGUCUGUGUGUGGUGUGUCUCUCUGUGUGGUGUACUUCUGUGCGUCUGUGUAUGUCUGUGUGUCUGUGUGGUGUGUGUCUCUGUGUGUGGUGUGUCUCUGUAUGUGUGUCUGUGUGUCUGUGUGUGGUGUGUCUCUGUAUGUGUGUCUGUGUGUAUGUGUGUCUGUGUGUGGUGUGUCUCUCUGUGUGGUGUACUUCUGUGCGUCUGUGUAUGUCUGUGUGUCUGUGUGGUGUGUGUCUCUGUGUGUCUGUGACUGUGUGUCUUUCUGUGUGUGUCUGUGCCUAGAGAAACAUUGUUUGCCUUUAGCGAAUGUCCUGUUGACUAAGUCUUGACUUGUUUAUACACUGCAAUAGCUGCUGACCCUUUGUGUGCUCUGUCCCCUACCACAGGGCUGUGGACACGCCCCUCACGUCUCUUCCCCUGAAUUGCUGUUCUCUCUGUGACCCCAAGUUCACCACGUGUUUCAUUGUUGGACUAAUUACCGUUGCAUUGUUUGCCCAAAACACUUGACAGAAACAACACAAGGGAGGAGAGGUUUACUUUUGAGUUUCAGUUUUCGUUUUUUUCAUCCACAGAGUCAAGGAAGAUGUAGCGGGCUUAGUGAGGAGGAGGAUAUGGUGGAGGAACGAGGGCCCAGGAUGCAACCCUCAGUGACCCACCCAAAGUGACCUAGGCAGCUAGGUUCUGCCUCCUGAAGGUUCUACUGCCUCCAAAAAAUAGUGACCCCAGAUAAGGAACAGAGUUAAAAACGUGAGCCUAUGGAGAGGUUUCAGGUCACACUUAUAACAGCUGCUUAAUCUUAAAUCGGAAAACCAAACAAAAAUAAUUUUUUUGUUGUGAAAUUUUCAGAGUGCUGAGAGAACCUUUGUGUCAUGAAUGAAUCUUUUUGGGUGCUAGACCCUUGACCUGUGAGGUUCUCUAGUGCAGAACAUCCCCACCGGCAGGAUCCCAGCAGCAUUCACUCAGGGACUGAGCCUGCUCUAGUAAACAAGCAGCCUUUCUUAUCUGACAGGGAACGACUGCCUGUCAUGCAGGAUCUCACUAAGCUCAUUCAGAAGAAGCUGUUCAUCUGUCAAACCAGGUGAAAAGCACUGAAUUGUAUUGCAGUUGCAGAAAUAAACCCACUAUGGGGGGGGGGGACGUCUAUAAUCUGGGCACUGGGAAACUGAGGCAAGAGAAUCAACACCUGGAGUCCACACUGGUCCGCAGAGUGAAACCUUGUUUCAAAACUCUGUAACAAAACAAAAGAACUCUGCAAUGUGGCUUCCAGCAUAUUGUGACGAUAAAAGACCCAACCUCCAUGGAAGGCAACUGUGUGAUGAGUGCCAAAACAAACACAGUUCAGUCUGAAGUUCAGGUUCUAAGUGGCCUGACCUGCACACAGCGCGUGUCUGUGGUGAGUCCCGUGUGGAGAAAAUAUACAAGUAAGACCGCUACGUGCCUGGCGACUGGAGAUGUGAUGGGGCACAGCGCACAGAGAGCCAUAAUGGCCUCAUGCUACAGGUCUGGGACGCUCAGCAACACCCCAGCAGGCACUGCACUGUCUAGUGGACAAGCUCUGUUAGCAGGAAGAGCUUCUCUGCGUCUGCUCAAGAAAGGCUGGUCAAGGCUCCCUCCACCUACACAUACUGUGGUUGGAGAAAUCAAGGUUCCUGGCAAAAGAGAGUAGCUUCACGGGAGGCAUGAGGCCGAGGUCGUUCUGUCAUGCUCUCCUAGUCUCCAUCCGACCGACCGUCCAAAGCGUCCUACUAGCGUCUGGCUGAGGGAAGGAAGCAGGGCCUAGAUCCAUACAAAAACAGCUUGGCCACAGCAAGAAUCUGCGUACAAACCAGCAAAUGAGGCAGAAAACUUCCUUCCCAGGGAAGAAUUGCAAAGCGUCCCCAGAGAUAGCUAAUAAAAUUUACUUUUUUUUAGUUUCA